rnacentral:rRNA from 1 species
GAUGAACGCUGGCGGCGUGCCUAAUACAUGCAAGUCGAGCGAACGGACGAGAAGCUUGCUUCUCUGAUGUUAGCGGCGGACGGGUGAGUAACACGUGGAUAACCUACCUAUAAGACUGGGAUAACUUCGGGAAACCGGAGCUAAUACCGGAUAAUAUUUUGAACCGCAUGGUUCAAAAGUGAAAGACGGUCUUGCUGUCACUUAUAGAUGGAUCCGUGCUGCAUUAGCUAGUUGGUAAGGUAACGGCUUACCAAGGCAACGAGGCAUAGCCGACCUGAGAGGGUGAUCGGCCACACUGAAACUGAGACACGGUCCAGACUCCUACGGGAGGCAGCAGUAGGGAAUCUUCCGCAAUGGGCGAAAGCCCGACGGAGCAACGCCGCGUGAGUGAUGAAGGUCUUCGGAUCGUAAAACUCUGUUAUUAGGGAAGAACAUAUUUGUAAGUAACUGUGCACAUCUUGACGGUACCUAAUCAGAAAGCCACGGCUAACUACGUG